UUCCCUUCUGCAUUCAUCAAACACCCAGACGCCAUGAAUUCUGCCCUCACACUUGUCUCCUUCUACUGAUUCUUGCCUGCAGAGGGAGUAGCAGGGAUUCUCAAAAUUUCCGUAUAAUAUUAAUACCGUGUUUCUAUAUUUCCAUCCAUCUCUUGGAGAUUAUAUUUCUUUUAGAUGUAAUAACUAAAUGUUUUCACCCAUGGCACGCUGCAGGAAAGUUGAUAUCUUCAACGACUCACCUGUGAAACAAGGAAACCGGGCAUUGGACAUACUUCAUUCCGUUGCCUAUUCGUUUCGACAAAAACCCAGAAUCAGCUGAAAGAAUUCUACAGGACGCAGCAGGGCUUGGGUCCUUUGUCAAGCUUUAUGAACUCUGCGUGGAGCAUAUCGCACGUCUUUUCAGAUUUGUGGCGGGUGGAUUGAUUACGGGACUCCUCAUUUUGUAUAGCAUAUGCAAGGAGUUGAUGUAAGGAGGCAAUACAAUACAACAGGAAAUCCCACAUUUUCAGAAGAAUAGCAGCAGUUCUCAAAGAUACCCUGUAAUGCUGGUUUAUUUCAU